CAUGGUAUGAUGAAGAGCAGAUGAAGGAUAUGGAUGAAGCACAUUUUAUCGCAUUGCAUAAUCCGGACUAUUUUUCAACAGAUAUUGGAUAUGCAACUUCACAGGAUUAGACAGUUCAUCUGCGUUGCUCAAGUUAUUGAGGCUUCAGGAGGUGGUCACCCGGUGUUGUCUAUUUGGUGUACAUUCCUUGAAGAAAGUCUUUAUCUACUGGCAGCAAUGGUUUUGAACAUGAUAUUGUGGAAUCUGGUAUUCGUUUUUGAGGUUCAGACAGACAUGAAUAGAUAUUUUUUUCCAGAAUUGGGUUUGUUUAUUUCUUGCAUAUUGCAACAUCUAUCAUAUCACCAAUUGGCUUGAAAUUGGUUAUAAGAUUGAAGAUGGUAGCAGGCUGUUAAAACAUAUAAGUGAAGGGUUAUAAUGUAUAUACAACAGGGAUAGAGAGAUGGAGCAAUCAAGUGUUAUUUAAGGGAUAUUCAAUCUCGCAGUAUCCUUCUUAAUGAUAAAUACGAGGUCAGGCUGGGAAGUCUGAGCAAAGUUUGUGUUCAGGGCAUCGAUAAUCAUGAGAAUAUGAUCUCAAAAUUUCUGCGAAUACCACAGGAGUUCUGCUUCGCGGAAUAAUUAAAGAUGUUGGAAUUCUGUGUUCUUGUGGGAUGUGCAAGGGAUCCAUAUAGUUGUCCCUCCUUGUAAAUUUGAGAUUCAUUCAUGUAAGUCAUAUAGGCGAGCAUCACAGUAUAUCUGCCUUGAAAAUGGGAAGAGCCUCCUUGAUGUAGUUAAGGAGUGCAGGAAAUGUUCAUUAAAGACAUUGGAAGAAACAAUUCUGAGUUUUAUUGGGCCGGCUCCUGUAAAGGAAGCCAUUGUCUGUCAGAAUUGCAAGGUGCCAUUCCUUACAACAUCUGCUGCAAAUCUUCAACUAUGUGAUUCAUGCUUGAUUGUUACAAGAUCAGAAGAUGAAGUGGGGUAAGCUUGAUUUUGAAUUUUGAAAUGCACUCUUGUAUUUUAUGUCAUCUGUUUUGUAAUAAUUUAAGACUUGUUGGAUUUCUAGUGAGUGAAACAAGGCUUGAUUUCAGAUAGAUGUGUGUUUUUGCUGCAAGUACUAAAAGGUUGCAGUGUUUGAAGUACAUAAAUGAUAAAAUUAGUUCCAGAUUUUAAUUAGUAGAUUAAUGAUUUAAUGGACACUAGUAGUCUGUGCUUAUGUGAUUUUGAAGUGAGUAAACCAAUUCUGUUUUUUCAAAUAGUAGUUGAAGUA